UACGGAGGGUACAAGCGUUGUCCGGAUUUAUUGGGUUUAAAGGGUGCGUAGGCGGCCCGUUAAGUCAGUGGUGAAAGCCUCCAGCUCAACUGGAGAACUGCCAUUGAUACUGACGGGCUUGAGUACAGACGAGGUUGGCGGAAUUGAUUGUGUAGCGGUGAAAUGCAUAGAUACAAUCAAGAACUCCGAUUGCGUAGGCAGCUAACUAGGCUGUAACUGACGCUGAGGCACGAAAGCGUGGGGAGCGAACAGG
rnacentral:rRNA from 1 species